rnacentral:rRNA from 1 species
CAGUCGCCACGGGAAUACGUAGGGGGCGAGCGUUGUCCGAAGUUACUGGGCGUAAAGCGCGCGUAGGCGGCUUCUUAAGUCUGAGGUGAAAGGUUCAACGCUUAACGUGAACAGUGCCUUGGAUACUGGGGAGCUUGAGUAUGGGAGAGGGCAGUGGAAUGGCUGGUGUAGCGGUGAAAUGCGUAGAUAUCAGUCGGAACACCCAUGGCGAAGGCAGCUGCCUGGCCUAAUACUGACGCUGAGGUACGAAAGCGUGGGGAGCGAACGGGAUUAGAUACCCCAGUAGUCCCUGUCUCUUAUA